CUGGACAUCACCCUGAAGCUUCAGUUUUCCCAUCUGUGAAAUGGGGCAAACAAUAGCUCCGACCUUACAGGGUUGCCAGGAUUGAAUGAGACAUGACAUGGAAAAUGCUGAAGUGCUUACUUAGCACCGUGCCUUCCCCACCGCCCGUGUUAAUCAAAGAGCAGCAAGAACCAGGACACCGCUGCAAACACCACUGCAGUCUUAGCAGCUCGAACCGUCGGGUGUCUUCUCUGCCAGCAACAUGGUGACUCACCGCCAGGCCCCAAUCAGUCUGUUAUUUCUUAUCUACCACGGACUGCGGAGCUAGAAGAUUCAACCACGACCCGAACCACAUGUUUAUAUGCUCAAUUAGGAUCUAUAUACCUUCAAAUGAGCGGUUGAAUGUACAGCUGUGUGAGUGCUUUAUCGGAUCUGCAGAAACUUCUCCCCACCCAAGAACACAAUCUGUAUUUUGAAGGGUUGAAUACAUCAUAAAUCAGCCAUCCAGGGUCUAGACAGUUUUGUCUGCCGUAGGUUGUCUGGAGCAGGAAGGGUGGAGCUUGGAGGAGCUGCCUGGUGGUCCCAGGGGAGCUGCUGGCAGAAGGACCGUAGGCAGCAGGCAGCACUGGCCCCGGGGUCCUGGCUGACGCUUGGAAGCUGGACAGGGAGCGCAGCACUGCGAGCAGUAGCUCCUGGCUUUCCAGACCAUGACCCCCCUGUUCCGGUGUCCUCGUGGUGGGCAGCGGCUGCCGUGCCCCGGCAAGGCCAGGCAGAGGCCCCCAGCACCCUGCUCUCUGCUAGUCUCUGUGGACUCACAGGUGGGCAGUGGGGGAAUGUUCCAUCCUUAAGUGGUCUAACCCUUUGGGAUCGGAAUGCCACUUCUGGGCACAGGGUGGCUCGGGAACCAGUGGUGCUUGAAUCUCCCUGUAAAGCAGCCCUAAAGGGCGGGUGUGGGGGGGCAGAGCCUGGAGCAGGGCUUUCUGCGGGGAGCGUGGACGCCGACAGAGCUGGCGAGUUCCCAGGGGUCUGUGGGUGUGGGUGGUCUUCUGCAUCUCACUCAGUCUGCCAGUGACCCGCACGCGUUAUCGGGCCGAAUGCGAAGCUGUGGAUGGUCUUCCUGACCUGCACGCUCAGUUCUUGUACUCAGACACCUGCUGCGGCCAAGAGCCCGGGAGUGAUGGUUCCGGACUGGUGCCAACAUCCUUCUGCCUCCCCUCGACCUGAACCACCAUCCUGUCCCUGAUAGCGAACCCUGUCCCCACCCCGCCCAGGAGGAAACAGCUCCUCUGCCCUUUUAUCCGUCUCUUUCUCUCUCCAUCCUCCCCUUCCUUUUCUUUCUUUUUUUUUUUUUUAAAGGUUUUAUUUAUUUAUUUGACAGAGAUAGAGACAGCCAGCGAGAGAGGGAACACAAGCAGGGGGAGUGGGAGAGGAAGAAGCAGGCUCCCAGCAGAGGAGCCUGAUGUGGGGCUCGAUCCCGGAACUCCAGGAUCACGCCCUGAGCCGAAGGCAGACGCCCAACCGCUGUGCCACCCAGGCGCCCCUCCCCUUCCUUUUCUAAACCUCAAAUAGGAGGAACAACUCACUCCAUACCCACCAUUCUCAGGGAGGCUCACUGCAUUGAUUCCAGGGUGAUUUUCUGAGCUAGCCUAUAUUUUGAAAUAUCUGGCACUUGUCUCCUAAGGAACAGAAAAGGAAAAGAAAAUACAAAUUAAAUCUCCAGGACAUG
rnacentral:lncRNA from 1 species